rnacentral:rRNA from 1 species
AGUGAACGCUGGCGGCGUGCCUAAUACAUGCAAGUCGAACGCGAAAGUCCUUCGGGAUGAGUAAAGUGGCGCACGGGUGAGUAAUACAUGGGAACAUGCCCUUAGAUGGGGAAUAACGUUUGGAAACGAACGCUAAUACCGCAUAAUCUCGCGAGAGUAAAGGUGGCGCCGCAAGGGCUACCGUCUAAGGAUUGGCCCAUGUCCCAUUAGCUAGUUGGCGGGGUAAAGGCCCACAAAGGCAACGAUGGGUAUGUGGUCUGAGAGGAUGAUCACACACACUGGAACUGAGACACGGUCCAGACUCCUACGGGAGGCAGUAGUAGGGAAUAUUGCACAAUGGGGGAAACCCUGAUGCAGCAACGCCGCGUGAGUGAAGAAGGCCCUUGGGUUGUAAAGCUCUUUAGCGAGGGAAGAAGGUAGAUACGGUAAAUAAUCGUGCCUGCUGACGGUACCUCGAGAAUAAGCACCGGCUAACUACGUGCCAGCAGCCGCAGUAA